GAUGAACGCUGGCGGCGUGCCUAAUACAUGCAAGUCGAGCGAACGGACGAGAAGCUUGCUUCUCUGAUGUUAGCGGCGGACGGGUGAGUAACACGUGGAUAACCUACCUAUAAGACUGGGAUAACUUCGGGAAACCGGAGCUAAUACCGGAUGAUAUUUUGAACCGCAUGGUUCAAAAGUGAAAGACGGUCUUGCUGUCACUUAUAGAUGGAUCCGCGCUGCAUUAGCUAGUUGGUAAGGUAACGGCUUACCAAGGCAACGAUGCAUAGCCGACCUGAGAGGGUGAUCGGCCACACUGGAAAUGAGACACGGUCCAGACUCCUACGGGAGGCAGCAGUAGGGAAUCUUCCGCAAUGGGCGAAAGCCUGACGGAGCAACGCCGCGUGAGUGAUGAAGGUCUUCGGAUCGUAAAACUCUGCUAUUAGGGAAGAACAUAUGUGUAAGUAACUGUGCACAUCUUGACGGUACCUAAUCAGAAAGCCACGGCUAACUACGUG
rnacentral:rRNA from 1 species